rnacentral:RNase_P_RNA from 1 species
GCAGUCAGCCGGUCUGUCGCCCGAUUAAAAAAAUCGGGAGGAAAGUCCGGGCAACACAGGGCUCCAUACUUCCUAACGGGAAGUCGCCUGCAAAGGCGAAGUAACGUAACAGAAAAUAACCGUUCCGCACGUUCGGGACAAGGGUGAAAAGGCGAGGUAAGAGCUCACCGGGUGUCAUAGCGAUAUGAUAUGCCGUACGUCUUAUGGGUUGCGAGGUCAUGUAUACCGGCGCAGUAGGGUUGCCCGCCUGAUGCCGAGGGGUAGACCGCUCGAUCUUGCCGGCGACGGUAAGACAAGAUAAAUGACAGACGCCCGUGCGAAAGCAUGGAUACAGAACCCGGCUUACAGGCAGACUGCGGUU